rnacentral:misc_RNA from 1 species
GAAAUGCGAUAAGUAGUGUGAAUUGCAGAAUUCAGUGAAUCAUCGAAUCUUUGAACGCACAUUGCGCCCCUUGGUAUUCCAUGGGGCAUGCCCGUUCGAGCGUCAUUUGUACCCUCAAGCUCUGCUUGGUGUUGGGUGUUUGUCCCCGUCUCCGCGCGUGGACUCGCCCCAAAGUGAUUGGCAGCCGGCGUACUGGUCCCGGAGCGCAGCACAUGUCGCGCAAACGAGUGCCUUGGUACGGCGGCGUCCAUAAGCCCCUCUCUCACGCUCUUGACCUCGGAUCAGGUAGGGAUACCCGCUGAACUUAAGC